rnacentral:rRNA from 1 species
UACGUAGGGUGCAAGCGUUAAUCGGAAUUACUGGGCGUAAAGCGUGCGCAGGCGGUUCGUGAUGUCUGGUGUGGAAGCCCCGGGCUUAACCUGGGAAUUGCAUUGGAAACUAGCGGGCUGGAGUGUGGCAGAGGGGGGUGGAAUUCCACGUGUAGCAGUGAAAUGCGUAGAGAUGUGGAGGAACACCGAUGGCGAAGGCAGCCCCCUGGGCUAACACUGACGCUCAUGCACGAAAGCGUGGGGAGCAAACAGG